CGUUAUUGUACAGGUGGGGGAAAGUGAACCAUUUGUGUCUGAACUUCUGUCAGGCCUUCCAACAACCGUUGCUGAUCUUGAGCCUCAUCAGAUCCAUACAUUUUAUGAAUCUGUAGGGCAUAUGAUUCAAGCGGAACCUGAUCCACAGAAGAGAGAUGAAUACCUGCAGAGAUUGAUGGAUCUUCCAAACCAGAAAUGGGCUGAAAUCAUAGGGCAGGCACGCCAGAGUGUUGAUUUUCUGAAAGAUCAAGAAGUGAUCAGGGCUGUUCUCAACAUAUUGCAGACAAAUACAAGUGUUGCUAGUUCUCUGGGAACAUAUUUCUUGUCCCAAAUCUCUUUAAUCUUCCUGGACAUGCUUAAUGUGUAUAGAAUGUAUAGUGAACUUAUAUCAAGUAGCAUUGCCGAAGGAGGUCCGUAUGCAUCUAAAACAUCCUAUGUGAAGCUUUUAAGAUCGGUUAAGAGAGAGACACUUAAACUCAUUGAGGCAUUUUUGGACAAGGCUGAAGACCAGCCACAGAUUGGGAAGCAAUUUGUGCUCCCAAUGAUGGAUCCCGUUCUUGGCGACUAUGCCAGGAAUUUGCCUGAUGCUAGAGAAUCAGAAGUUCUGUCA
rnacentral:misc_RNA from 1 species